UACGUAGGGGGCGAGCGUUGUCCGGAUUUACUGGGCUUAAAGGGCGUGCAGGCGGUUUGUUAAUUGCAGGGUGAAAGCUCCCGGCUCAACUGGGAGAGGUCAUUGCAUACUGGCGAACUCGAGGGAGGCAGAGGAAAGUGGAAUUCCCGGUGUAGUGGUGAUAUGCGUAGAUAUCGGGAGGAACACCUGUGGCGAAGGCGGCUUUCUGGGCCUUAACUGACGCUGAGACGCGAAAGCGUGGGGAGCGAACCGG
rnacentral:rRNA from 1 species